GAUGAACGCUGGCGGCGUGCCUAAUACAUGCAAGUCGAGCGAACAGACGAGGAGCUUGCUCCUUCGACGUUAGCGGCGGACGGGUGAGUAAUACGUAGGUAACCUACCUAUAAGACUGGGAUAACUUCGGGAAACCGGAGCUAAUACCGGAUAAUAUUUCGAACCGCAUGGUUCGAUAGUGAAAGAUGGCUUUGCUAUCACUUAUAGAUGGACCUGCGCCGUAUUAGCUAGUUGGUAAGGUAACGGCUUACCAAGGCAACGAUACGUAGCCGACCUGAGAGGGAGAUCGGCCACACUGGAACUGAGACACAGUCCAGACUCCUACGGGAGGCAGCAGUAGGGAAUCUUCAGCAAUGGGCGAAAGCCUGACGGAGCAACGCCGCGUGAGUGAUGAAGGUCUUCGGAUCGUAAAACUCUGUUAUUAGGGAAGAACAAACGUGUAAGUACCUGUGCACGUCUUGACGGUACCUAAUCAGAAAGCCACGGCUAACUACGUG
rnacentral:rRNA from 1 species